rnacentral:tRNA from 1 species
CCAGCAAUGGUCUAGUGGUAUGAUUGUCGCUUCGGGUUUCUCCCGCAGAGCUUCUCUGCUCGAUUGUGACAGGCCCCGGGUUCGAAUCCCGGUUGAGUGA